rnacentral:misc_RNA from 1 species
GCAAACUUGGUCAUUUAGAGGAAGUAAAAGUCGUAACAAGGUUUCCGUAGGUGAACCUGCGGAAGGAUCAUUACAAAAUGUUUAUGAAUGCUGUAUUCAAAAACCCCCUCUGACUGAGUACUUGUACCUGUUGCCUUCGCAGGGUGUUGGCGGGAUGAUGUCUUCGCCAAUACCAUACCAUUUAAUGGUUCUGCGGGUGGCCAUAAUGGAAAAAUCUCGUCUUGUAUGUUUUGGUGAGAGUCUGACGCAUUGCGUAAUGGCAAAUUCAAAACUUUCAACAACGGAUCUCUUGGUUCUCGCAUCGAUGAAGAACGCAGC